UACGGGGGGGGCAAGCGUUGUUCGGAAUUACUGGGCGUAAAGGGCUCGUAGGCGGCCAACUAAGUCAGACGUGAAAUCCCUCGGCUUAACCGGGGAACUGCAUCUGAUACUGGAUGGCUUGAGUUCGGGAGAGGGAUGCGGAAUUCCAGGUGUAGCGGUGAAAUGCGUAAAUAUCUGGAGGAACACCGGUGGCGAAGGCGGCAUCCUGGACCGGCAUUGACGCUGAGGCGCGAAAGCUAGGGGAGCAAACGGG
rnacentral:rRNA from 1 species